rnacentral:rRNA from 1 species
GAUGAACGCUGGCAGCGUGCCUAACACAUGCAAGUCGAGCGAAGCGCUUAAAUUAGAUUUCUUCGGAAUGACGAUUUUUGUGACUGAGCGGCGGACGGGUGAGUAACGCGUGGGUAACCUGCCUCAUACAGGGGGAUAACAGUUAGAAAUGACUGCUAAUACCGCAUAAGACCCCAGCUUCGCAUGAAGCGGUGGUAAAAACUCCGGUGGUAUGAGAUGGACCCGCGUCUGAUUAGCUAGUUGGUAAGGUAACGGCUUACCAAGGCGACGAUCAGUAGCCGACCUGAGAGGGUGACCGGCCACAUUGGGACUGAGACACGGCCCAGACUCCUACGGGAGGCAGCAGUGGGGAAUAUUGCACAAUGGGGGAAACCCUGAUGCAGCGACGCCGCGUGAAGGAUGAAGUAUUUCGGUAUGUAAACUUCUAUCAGCAGGGAAGAAAGUGACGGUACCUGACGAAGAAGCCCCGGCUAACUACGUG